rnacentral:tRNA from 1 species
GGUUCCGUCGUGAAGUGGUUACACGCUCGCUUUACGUGUGAGAGGCCCAAGGUUCGAGUCCCAGUAGAAUCA